AACAGGAUUAGAUACCCUGGUAGUCCACGCCCUAAACGAUGUCUACUAGUUGUCGGGUUUUAAUUAACUUGGUAACGCAGCUAACGCGUGAAGUAGACCGCCUGGGGAGUACGGUCGCAAGAUUAAAACUCAAAGGAAUUGACGGGGACCCGCACAAGCGGUGGAUGAUGUGGAUUAAUUCGAUGCAACGCGAAAAACCUUACCUACCCUUGACAUGUACGGAAGUCACGAGAGAUCGAGAUGUGCUCGAAAGAGAACCGUAACACAGGUGCUGCAUGGCUGUCGUCAGCUCGUGUCGUGAGAUGUUGGGUUAAGUCCCGCAACGAGCGCAACCCUUGUCAUUAGUUGCUACAUUUAGUUGAGCACUCUAAUGAGACUGCCGGUGACAAACCGGAGGAAGGUGGGGAUGACGUCAAGUCCUCAUGGCCCUUAUGGGUAGGGCUUCACACGUCAUACAAUGGUACAUACAGAGGGCCGCCAACCCGCAAGGGGGAGCUAAUCCCAGAAAGUGUAUCGUAGUCCGGAUCGCAGUCUGCAACUCGACUGCGUGAAGUUGGAAUCGCUAGUAAUCGCGGAUCAGCAUGUCGCGGUGAAUACGUUCCCGGGUCUUGUACACACCGCCCGUCACACCAUGGGAGCGGGUUUUACCAGAAGUAGGUAGCUUAACCGCAAGGGGGGCGCUUACCACGGUAGGAUUCGUGACUGGGGUGAAGUCGUAACAAGGUAAC
rnacentral:rRNA from 1 species